UGGGGGAAACCCUGACCGAGCGACGCCGCGUGCGGGAUGAAGGCCUUCGGGUUGUAAACCGCUGUCGUAGAGGAGGAAAUGCAGGGGGGUUCUCCCUUCUGUUUGACCUAUUCUAGGAGGAAGUACGGGCUAAGUUCGUGCCAGCAGCCGCGGUAAGACGAACCGUACAAACGUUACUCGGAAUUACUGGGCUUAAAGGGUGCGUAGGCUGCGCGGAAAGUUGGGUGUGAAAGCCCUCAGCUCAACUGAGGAAUUGCACUCAAAACUACCGUGCUCGAGGGAGACAGAGGUAAGCGGAACUCAAGGUGGAGCGGUGAAAUGCGUUGAUAUCUUGAGGAACACCGGUGGCGAAGGCGGCUUACUGGGUCUCUUCUGACGCUGAGGCACGAAAGCUAAGGUAGCAAACGGGAUUAGAUACCCCGGUAGUCUUAGCUGUAAACGAUGAGCACUUGUUUGAAGGGUCCUCCAUAGCCUUUCAGACGUAGCGAAAGUGUUAAGUGCUCCGCCUGGGGA
rnacentral:rRNA from 1 species